AUUGAACGCUGGCGGCAUGCUUUACACAUGCAAGUCGAACGGUAACAGGGAGCUUGCUCCGCUGACGAGUGGCGAACGGGUGAGUAAUGCGUCGGAACGUGCCGAGUAGUGGGGGAUAACGCAUCGAAAGGUGUGCUAAUACCGCAUACGAACUGAGGUUGAAAGUGGGGGACCUUCGGGCCUCACGCUAUUCGAGCGGCCGAUGUCUGAUUAGCUAGUUGGUGAGGUAAAGGCUCACCAAGGCGACGAUCAGUAGCGGGUCUGAGAGGAUGAUCCGCCACACUGGGGCUGGGACACGGCCCAGACUCCUACGGGAGGCAGCAGUGGGGAAUUUUGGACAAUGGGCGCAAGCCUGAUCCAGCCAUGCCGCGUGUCUGAAGAAGGCCUUCGGGUUGUAAAGGACUUUUGUCCGGGAGCAAAUGCUGGUGGCUAACAUCCACCGGAGCUGAGAGUACCGGAAGAAUAAGCACCGGCUAACUACGUGCCAGCCGCCGCGGUAAGAC
rnacentral:rRNA from 1 species